UACCAGCACCCCGAGUGGUCGGGACGAUUAUUGGGCCUAAAGCAUCCGUAGCCGGUCCUACAAGUCUUCCGUUAAAUCCACCUGCUUAACAGAUGGGCUGCGGAAGAUACUAUAGGGCUAGGAGGCGGGAGAGGCAAGCGGUACUCAGUGGGUAGGGGUAAAAUCCUCUGAUCCAUUGAAGACCACCAGUGGCGAAGGCGGCUUGCCAGAACGCGCUCGACGGUGAGGGAUGAAAGCCGGGGGAGCAAACCGG
rnacentral:rRNA from 1 species